UAAAUCAACAGUCAGAAAUUUGAAUCAUGUUUACUCCCAAACCCUGGGAAAAAGGGAUUUAGCCACACAUAAACAUAUGACUAACAAUCACAAUCUCAAUAAAACUAAUGAACAUUAAACAAUGAAAAACCGUAGAGAAAUCGAGAUUCUUCAGUCUUGCUCUUGCUCCGUGUCUCCCAGCUCUCAGGAAAAGUCAGAAUAUGAUAAAAGGUGAUAAAAGGUUCAGAGAAUAAGUUCUUGGGGAGUAUUUAUAUGCCCUAGGUCUUGUAGCUCUCAAAAAUACCCAAAAUCACUAAAAAAAC
rnacentral:lncRNA from 1 species